CGAGCGCAGUCCUUCGGGACCGAGCGGCGGACGGGUUAGUAACGCGUGGGAACGUGCCCUUCUCUACGGAAUAGCCAUUGGAAACGAUGAGUAAUACCGUAUACGCCCUUUUGGGGAAAGAUUUAUCGGAGAAGGAUCGGCCCGCGUUAGAUUAGAUAGUUGGUGGGGUAAUGGCCUACCAAGUCUACGAUCUAUAGCUGGUUUUAGAGGAUGAUCAGCAACACUGGGACUGAGACACGGCCCAG
rnacentral:rRNA from 1 species